rnacentral:lncRNA from 1 species
CAAAGAUUCCCCGGGGCUGUAGCCACCCGUUAGGUUUCCUAAAUGCACCGCACUCCUCCCCAAGGGGCGAACCCAAACUUGGCAGAGCGAGCCGCAUACACCGAGCCCCAUUGACGGCACGACGGCUAAGUGAACUACAUCCCGGAUCCUCUAAUUAUUCAGCUAAGGGCACCCCAUUCCACCCUCAUGGUUGCACUGUUUUCCCGGGCGGUCAUCCAUAGAACAGGUCCUUACGGAGAGGCACUCGAGAAACCGCUCGAGUCCCCUUGAAAACCACAAGUAUAAUCAUAAAGAAGAACGGGAAAACAGCGUAUCAUAGAUAAUCACAUCAUGUUCAUUGAUUAGAGUUGAGCAAUAGCAUCAGACUAAGUAGUAAUAAUCCGACCCAAAUAGGUAAACAAGGACAUGGAUAACAAAAGCUAGUCAAUCCUUAGGUAUAAAUGUGUAAUGCGGGAGGUGAAUUAAAGAAUGAAUAGGACAGAGAUAGGUCAAAGGACACUUGCCUCCACCAACCGACUGCUGCUCAGGGGCUUCUCCUGCGAAUUCCUCGGGCUCUUCGACCGGAUCGUUCUCUAUGCGAGCGCAAACAUACAUACAUCCAUCCACAUAUUUAAUACAAAAGAACAGUACACCAUACAAGAUAACAAAUAAAGUGAAUAUGCACCAAGUAUGACAUUCGAUAACGCAUUUGUUAUGGUUAGAAAGAAACGGGAAAGGUCUCGCAGGGGGUUAAAUCUUAUGCACUAAUGACACAAUUGGUUUUUAACAAAAUAAUUCUGUUAUAUAUAUUUAUAUAUACUGAUGGAAACCUAAUCACUUUUAGUUGAUCAACAUUGCACAGGGUAAACAAUUAACUACGUGAAUCAAUAACAUAACGGAAUUUUAAAUUAAACUUCCUAUUUUCCCAUAGCAUGAACAGUGAUUAGCCUACUUAAAAUACAGUAAUUAUGAUCACAGAAAGUAAAUAAAAUAAAAUAAAAAAAAUAAAAAAAACAGAGGGGGGGGCGGUUGAACCGGCCCGGGGGCAGGCGGCCGAGCUGGGGCGGCCGAGCGCGGGGGGCGGCCGAGCUGGGGCCGGGGGCGGUUGAGCCGGGGCCGAGGCCGGCUGAACCGGCCCGGGACAGGGGGGCGCGGCCAGGGGGCCAGGCGGCCGGGGUGGGCCAGCGGCGGCCGGGCGGGGCGCGGCUGGGCGCGGCCGAGGGCCGGCCAGCGGCGGCCAGGGGCCACGGCGGGGCUGGGGCGGCUGCCGGCGCGGCCAGGGGGCGCGCGGGGGUGGGGAGAGAAGAGGGGAGGGAGGAGAGGGAGGAGGGGGAGGGGGCUCACCGGCGGGGAUCGACGGCGAGGGGCGGCCGGCGGCAGGGGGCGGCGCGGCGGCCUAGGGUAGGGGCGGCGCUAGGGCAGGGGGCGGGUAGGGCGGCGGCUAGGGAGAGAAUGAGAGAGGGAAAAAAUGAGAGGGAGAGGGAGAGGGUUUGGGGAAAAAGGGGAGGUGGGGGCGGCAUGGGCCUAUUGGGCCCAAGGGGGGGCGCCAGGGGCGGCUGGGCCGGCCGGGGUCGGCCCACGGCGCGGGAGAGAGAGAAAAAAGAGGAGAGAAAAAGAGAGGGAGAAAAAAGAAAGAAAAGAUCUUCUCCACAUUUUCGAAAUCCGAUCUUUCUACAUGAAUGCAAUUGCGCUUUCAAAGCAAUCAAAAGAAAUGCAAGGUUCGGCAUGGUGCAUCAAACAACAUAAAGUAUUUAGGGUUUUUCUUACACGGGAAUUCCAAACCGAAUCCCGCUUAGAACUUUGGAAAAGGUCAAGGUUUAGCGAAGGGAAAAAGAAAAGGGAAAGGUAACGCCCGAAUUUUGGCGAGUAAAGAAAAGAAAAAAUUCAACUGCAAAAUUCGGGGCGUUACAAACCUAUCCCCCUUAAAAGAAUCUCGCCCUCGAGAUUCAGGGCUGGCUAGCAAAGAGCUCCGGGUACUUGGCCAUCAGAUCAUCUUCACGCUCCCAGGUUGCUUCUUCCUCAGAGUGGUGACUCCAUCUGACUUUGCACAUUCUGACGGUCUUCCUUCGGGUGACUCUAUCUGCAACCUCAAGGAUCUGAGCUGGCUUCUCAAUAUAGGUCAAGUCCUCCUGGACUUCAAGACCUUCCACUGGCAACUGCUCUUCUGGCACACGCAAACACUUCUUCAAUUGAGACACAUGAAAGACAUCAUGCACAGCAGACAAAUUCUCUGGCAGGCUGAGCUGAUAAGCCACUUCUCCACGCUUUGAGAGAAUUUGAUACGGACCAAUGUAGCGGGGUGCUAGCUUGCCUUUCACUCCGAAUCUUCUGACUCCUCUGAUCGGUGACACUUUCAGAUAGACAAAGUCUCCGACUUCGAAACUCAGCUCUCUUCUUCUUGUGUCUGCAUAGCUUCGCUGCCUCGAUUGCGCUAUCUUCAGAUUCUCUCGAACCAUCUUGAUGUUCUCUUCGGCUUCGAGCAAAAUAUCUGGCCCAAACACCUGCUUCUCUCCAGGCUGAUCCCAUUGCAACGGAGUUCUGCAACUCCUUCCAUACAGCGCUUGAAACGGUGACAUCUUCAAACUGGCCUGGUAACUGUUGUUAUAGGAAAAUUCUGCAUAAGGCAAUCGCUUGUCCCAUCCGGACUGAUCUUGCAACGCACAGGCUCUCAACAUAUCUUCAAGAAUUUGAUUGGUUCUUUCAGUCUGACCAUCUGUCUGCGGGUGAUAAGCUGAACUGAAAUUCAGAUGCGUGCCCAAGGCUUCAUGCAACUGCUGCCAGAAAUGAGAGGUGAACUGCGUUCCUCUGUCUGACACUAUCUUCUUUGGCACACCAUGAAGACAAACGAUCCGAGACAUAUACAAUUCUGCCAAUACUGCACUGUUGUAGUUGGUCUUGACAGGUAUGAAGUGGGCUGACUUGGUCAAACGGUCCACUACUACCCAAAUGGAAUCGUAGCCGGCUCGAGUGCGAGGCAAUCCGACUAUGAAAUCCAUACCAAUUUCAUCCCAUUUCCACUGAGGGAUCUGCAACGGUUGCAACAAUCCAGCUGGUCUCUGGUGUUCUGCCUUAAUUCUUCGACAACUAUCGCACAUAGCCACAUGCUCUGCGAUUUCUCUUUUCAUUCCGUACCACCAGAAUUUCUUCUUCAGAUCCUGAUACAUCUUCUCACUGCCAGGGUGAAUCGAAUAAGCUGUCUCAUGAGCUUCCUUAAGAAUCAACUCCCGAAUAGACUGGACAUUGGGAACACACAAGCGGUCUUUGAACCAUACCACACCUUCUGCAUCUUCUCGAAAGUCUUUGCCUCUGCCAUCUAGAAUCAAUCGCCGAAUCUCACUGAUCUUCUCAUCAUUUUUCUGCGCUUUCUUUUGAUUUNNNNNNNNNNNNNNNNNNNNNNNNNNNNNNNNNNNNNNNNNNNNNNNNNNNNNNNNNNNNNNNNNNNNNNNNNNNNNNNNNNNNNNNNNNNNNNNNNNNNAGCAAGGGUGAGUACACAUCAACAUACUCAGCAAGUAUCCUGUUUGGCUGUAGUGGACUAGCUUUAUGUGGGGAUCAGUCAAGCAGUUGCUUUUAGUUGGUCAGGUUAUUACUUACUAGUAGAAAGCCAGGUUUUAACAUUAACCCAAGUUAUUAACCCAAUGUAUCCUUUCCAAACGGAAAGAAUACCACUUACCAAUACCAUAAUCAUAACCAGAACCAUCAAUCUCAUUGCCACCUGUACCAAAAUAUCUCUGAUCAAGUAUCACUAAUCUCUGGAGCUCCCUUGGCCGCUCAUAACCGUGAGCACGGCUGAUAUAUCAGUUUCAUAACACUCUGCAGAGGUUGUGCACUUUACCCACAAGCCGUGAUUCCCUCUUGCCUCGGGCCGAUCAAACCCUUAAACACUACCAAGGUGAAUAGGCAGGGUUUCACUACGUAGCCUUUACAAAGAUUCCCCGGGGCUGUAGCCACCCGUUAGGUUUCCUAAAUGCACCGCACUCCUCCCCAAGGGGCGAACCCAAACUUGGCAGAGCGAGCCGCAUACACCGAGCCCCAUUGACGGCACGACGGCUAAGUGAACUACAUCCCGGAUCCUCUAAUUAUUCAGCUAAGGGCACCCCAUUCCACCCUCAUGGUUGCACUGUUUUCCCCGGGCGGUCAUCCAUAGAACAGGUCCUUACGGAGAGGCACUCGAGAAACCGCUCGAGUCCCCUUGAAAACCACAAGUAUAAUCAUAAAGAAGAACGGGAAAACAGCGUAUCAUAGAUAAUCACAUCAUGUUCAUUGAUUAGAGUUGAGCAAUAGCAUCAGACUAAGUAGUAAUAAUCC